UCCCUCUCCUCGCGCAUGGCUCCAUCACGGGGAAGGAGACUGUGCUAUUUUAUCCAUUAUUUCUGUGUUUCCCUGCUCCUGUGGUGUUCCCCGUGGCUGUGCAAGUACCUGAGGACACCUGGCAUUACCUGGCGCCUUGUUGACCACGUACACGGUGACGGAGAAUCUGUCAUCCUGGCUGUACGUCUGCCUGCCCACGGUGAUGAGGUGGUGAUCACGGAGACGAAUCCACGAUACCUGGAACAGCACAGAGAAUGCACGAGUCGCGGGACAAAGGGACACAGGGACACAGGGACACAGGGACAGGGACAGAGGGACACAGUGACGGGAAGCAGGUGUGACGCGCCAGACAGCAUCUGCCCAGCCCACCAUCCCGCUAAUGUGAGGCACAACACACCUGCCACACCUGCCACACCUGCUCAAUGUCGGCACCUCUCACUUCAAGGCUACAGAAAGAAGGACAGACGAAGGAAAGGAGAUAAGGACGGGAGAAGCUGCAGGGGACGAGCGGAUGAGAGUGCACCGUAAACCAGUCUCGUCACGCUGCCCACGCCGCUGUUCAGGUGAGGGGAAGAGGCGCCUGGUACCUUUAAUUGCCACGGGAAUCAGGGCAGGUGUGUGGCGCAGGGUCAGCGCGGCCAGCUCACCUGCGCCACCUGUCACCAAUGCCCCUGAAGGUAAGACGUGGCGCAGGAAGUGUUUUGGCAGCGAGCACCUGGCUGGAUAUUACCUGCCGGGCUGAGUACAGGUGAGGGACAUUGUUGUUGUAGUUGAUGAUGUUGUUGUUGUUGUUUGCAUUAAUGGAAUGAGGCUGAAGGUAACACAGGGCAAUGAAAAGACCCCCAAACGACGCCCCGCCAAGCCAAUAACGGCAAGCAAAGUGUAAAGAGCAGUUGUACUUUUAAUCUCGAGAGAAAGGAACCUCCGCGCUCGCCUCUUGAAGCUGUCCAGGUCGGGAGGAAGAAAGGAAAGUGAAGGUGUUUGUUCCCAGGUUUGCAAAUUCCGAGCUAUGAUGAAUUCAGGUGUUAGGUAAUCAGUACAAUUAAUGAAGUUACCUGUCUGGGAACUGCGUGUUUGAUUUAUGUAUCUGUUUAUUAUCUGCAAGUGACUUCUGCCUCAGGUGCACUAAUUAACUGAAGUGGAUACCUGAAUGUAUCCUUUCCUGCUUUGUUGAACUAUAUGUUUUAUUUAUGUGUCUGUUAGCUUCUGAAUGUUGAUUAUCUAUAGGUGACUCCGGUUGCAGAUGCACUAAUUACCUGUGGAAAUGGAUACCUACCCAAGUACUUUAUUGCUUGGGUCACGCGGGUAAUUUGGCUCAGAUCUUUUAUGUAGUGAGAAAUCUGAACUUAACACCGUGACUGACUUGAGGGAAAUUGUUGGUAACUGACUUGCCUAAUGUUUACUAGCAGCACACUUUGUUACCUGCCUAAGCUGGACACCUGACUGGAGUUACCUCGUUAGAGUAAACAUUGUCACCAGUGUCGUCAGGUGUUUAAAUUUACCUGAUUGAAUUCAGUAUUGUGCCAGUGCCGCCAAGUGUCUAAAAGUUACCUGGAGUAGACCUAGUUACCUGGCUCAGCUCACCACCUGGCCUGAGAGCUACCUAGUUGAAGUAAACAUUGUCUCCACUGCCAUCAGAAGUAAUGCAUGAAAUCUUUAAAAGCAUCUACAAGAAAGAAGGCAAUUAAAAAAAAAGAUUUUGCAAUCUCUAGCCAGUUUAAAGAUCAGAGAACAAGUAAGCUGUCUCAUAGUGUUUGGUGAUAAAGGAAAGAUGUACCGAAUACUCGUAGCAGUCAAAGGGUUAAGAGUUAUCGGGAGCAGACCUGGUUACCUGCCUCAGUUCACCACCUGGCUCAAGAGUUACCUGUCGCCGCUGCCAUCAGUCAUCAGAGAGCUCA